CCCUCUGGACCAGACGCCGCCUGCACGGGUGGGGACGCUGGUCGCUGCCGGGGGCAAGUCUGCCGACUCCAGAAAGAAAGGCGAAAGAAUAGAUUGUGAAGCUAAGUGCUGUGAGGGAAACCAGAGGCAGCUGAGAUGUCGUGGAAGUAACAGCGAAUGAAGCCAGGAUGCUGGAUUCUGACCUUGGAACUGUUCUGAGUAAAUCACUUUUCUCAGUAAAUCUUCUGGAGUUGUUUCCUUAUCUGUAAAAUGGGAUAACGAUGUUUCCCUUACAAUUUAAUGGAGGAGUUAAUAUAACUAAUAGAAUGUCUGAGAAAAGCCUUUGUGAACUGUAACGCAUCCUGCAAAUGCUUAAUAUUCCCUUAUAAAAACGAGAGGCUUGGUUAACAUGA
rnacentral:lncRNA from 1 species